GAUGAACGCUGGCGGCGUGCCUAAUACAUGCAAGUCGAGCGAACGGACGAGAAGCUUGCUUCUCUGAUGUUAGCGGCGGACGGGUGAGUAACACGUGGAUAACCUACCUAUAAGACUGGGAUAACUUCGGGAAACCGGAGCUAAUACCGGAUAAGAUUUUGAACCGCAUGGUUCAAAAGUGAAAGACGGUUUUGCUGUCACUUAUACAGGGAUCCGGGCUGCAUUAGCUAGUUGGUAAGGUAACGGCUUACCAAGGCAACGAUGCAUAGCCGACCUGAGAGGGUGAUCGGCCACACUGGAACUGAGACACGGUCCAGACUCCUACGGGAGGCAGCAGUAGGGAAUAUUCCGCAAUGGGCGAAAGCCUGACGGAGCCACGCCGCGUGAGUGAUGAAGGUCUUCGGAUCGUAAAACUCUGUUAUUAGGGAAGAACAUAUGUGUAAGUAACUGUGCACAUCUUGACGGUACCUAAUCAGAAAGCAACGGCUAACUACGUG
rnacentral:rRNA from 1 species